UCCUCCCCGCUGUUGCCAGUUGCACGGUCGAAGGCGACCGGCGACCUCCCGGAUCUCUCCCUCUCUGUUGCUGGGGCGUCUGGCUGAAGGCAACGACGGGUCAGGGGAGCUCCGGAGCAGCCGCCUCAGAUCCGGCGGACCCUUGCCUGAACCCAGCCGAAUCAUUCGUCAGCUUUUCAAUCCGAUUCGGUCCUGCUCGCCCACUCCCUUAGCCGGCGGCAGCUGCGUCUUCCUCUCACCCCGUCGGCGGCUUCUCCCCUGUUCAGGUGGAGAUCCGGGCUGUUGCUUCCCGGGUUCCUGCGGAGGCGCAGGCGCCGCGCCUGCGCGCGCAGAGGCCCGGGAUCGGCGGCGAGAUGAAGGGCGCGUCCGUCCCUGCGGUUGUGGGCAUGCCUUCGCCGCUCUUUCUUUGGCGGUUUAAGGCUAUAUUGUUUCUCCUGUGGGGUUUAUGCUGUUGCAAGAUAGGGUGGGACUCUGUUAUGAGGAUGAGUGCUGAUCUGCGAGAUUUAUUUCUGUAUGAGGUUUUCUUAUACUAUAAUCCUCUCUUCCUUGUGGCACUUAUGAUUUGGUUAUGGGGAGUGAAUUUAUGGGUCUUUGCACAAUCAUCAGUGAAUUAUGUAAAAGUAUUUGAUCUCGCGCAAACACAUUUAUCACACCGAGAAAUUUGGAGGUGUGCUACUUGGCUUACUUUAAUUGUUCCCACAAGUAUGACAGCUUACCUAUACCUGUACUCACAUGGGGAAGUGUCACUUGCUGCUUCUCAACCAGUUCUAUUGUAUGCUAUCCUUUUGAUAGUCCUCCUUUCUCCGUUUGAUAUGUUUUAUUUAUCAUCACGCUUUUACUUCCUGAGGACCAUGUUACGUAUAGUACUUCCAUUGCAAGCAAUUACAUUCCCCGACUUCUUUUUGGCUGAUAUUUUUACAUCCAUGUCAAAGGUAUCCACUUAUUUAUAUGAAAUACUGAUUGUGGAUUAUUUUGUUUAUCUUAUCACUGUUGGAGAUACUCUGACAAAAAUGUCACUGUUGGAUAGUACCACAUAAGUUUAGUUUAUCUAUACCAAUAUAAAAAGACCCAUUCGGGCAGAUCCAAUUAAUCUUGGCCAUCAAAUCAUGUCAAUCCAACGACCUAGACUGCUUCAAUGUCGAGCGCUCAACACGUUUAGCGUGCAGUUAAUUUCAUGCCAAAAUAGUGAUAAUCACAUAAUAACAUGCAAAUAAUAUCCUACUUAAUAUCCGCAUGCACUUAAUACACUUCCAAAUUAACGUGCAUUGCACGUACACAUUGACUAGUAUUAUAUAUUGUCUGUUUCUUGUAUUGGCUAUAAUGCAGUAUGUUUUGGGAGAAAAUGCUAUCUACGUGAAAAUGUGGUGCGUGCUAUUGCUAAAUUUUGUAGAGAAUUGUUUAUAGUUUCUUGUUGUCCCAUGUUGACAUUUCUAGCAUUUUCUCUCAAUUCUUGCAUUUUUUUGACAGGUGUUCUCAGAUUUGGAACGUUCAGUUUGCCGCAUGGUCAAUCGUCAGGUGGCGACAAUUGCUUGGUUUGAAGCUGAUUCAAUUUGUGGUAGCCACUCUAUAGCUAUUCCUCUAGUUCUUGUGCUCCCUUAUUUGUGCCGUUUCUUCCAAUGCAUUCGACAGUACAAGGAUACAAAGGAGAAAAGUUGUCUUCUGAACGCACUGAAGUACUCGACAGCAGUCCCGGUGAUUUUUUUAUCGGCACUCAAGUAUCAUGUAUUCCCUGACCAGUGGGUUAGCUUUUACCGGCCCCUCUGGCUUAUUUCGGGUGUUAUAAAUUCGCUGUAUUCCUUCUACUGGGAUAUAAAGCGCGAUUGGGAUUUGAGCAUCUUAACCAGGAUUUUCAUGUUCAAAAGCCCAAGCACAUGGACAAGCCUUCUUUAUGGGCGGAACUGGGUGUAUUACUGGGUGUUAGGCAGCAACCUCGUUCUCCGCUGCACAUGGACAUACAAGCUGUCGGCGCAUCUUCGGCACAACUACCUCACAGUGUUUGCGAUAACAGCUUUGGAAAUGCUGAGGCGGUUUCAGUGGGUUUUCUUCCGCGUUGAGAAUGAGUGGAACAAGAUGACGGCCAAGCAAAAUUUUGAAAUGUCAUCCGAUAUGCCUUCAGAAUCAGACAGGCUGCUGGAGUCUAGUAGUCACACAGUAUGAAUCCCAGACCAUCGCGUUUUGUGACUCAUUCAUCACAUUCUUUUCAUGUGACCCUUCACAGGCUUGUAGCCGAUUUUAGGUCAUACGGUUCUGUUUUGUUUGUAGGGCUCAGAAGGUCAGGGAUACACAACAGUAGGUUUGUAGAAAAAGCUGAAAUCGUUGGCGCGGAGCAUGUAAUCCUCUUGAGAGGCGUCUGUUGACACAUGAAACAAUAAAUAGUAAUGCUGGGAAUUUUGAGAUUUUGCAUCAUGUGCAUCCGUUUGUCGCCUUGCCAUGAAUUUGCCGCUUUUGGCAUGUGUUCAUUUUCUCCCUGUAUCGCAACUAUGCGACAGAACUGCAAUGUGGCCAUUUGCACAAUGUACAAGAUGAUCAAGUUGCACCGAAUUAAUCCAUGG
rnacentral:rRNA from 1 species